rnacentral:tRNA from 1 species
GCCCCGGUGGCGGAACCGGUAGACGCGGCAGACUCAAAAUCUGUUGCCCGCAAGGGCGUGGGAGUUCGAGUCUCCCCCGGGGCACCA